AGAGUUUGAUCAUGGCUCAGGACGAACGCUUGCGGCGUGCCUAAGAAAUGCAAGUCGAACGGGGACUUCGGUCCUAGUGGCGAACGGUCGCGUAACACGUAAGCAACCUGCCCUGAAGUGGGGGACAACAUCCCGAAAGGGGUGCUAAUACCGCAUGUGGUCACGAGUCGGCAUCGGCUUGUGUCUAAAGAUUUAUCGCUUCAGGAUGGGCUUGCGGCCUAUCAGGUAGUUGGUGGGGUAAUGGCCUACCAAGCCGACGACGGGUAGCUGGUCUGAGAGGACGAUCAGCCGGAUUGGGACUGAGAUACGGCCCAGACUCCUACGGGGGGCAGCAAUUAGGAAUCUCGCGCAAUGGGGGAAACCCUGACGCAGCGACGUCGCGUGAAGGAUGAAGGCCCUCGGGUCGUAAACUUCUUUUGAGUGGGAAGAAAUUUGACGGUACCACUCGAAUAAGCCCCGGCUAACUACGUGCCAGCAGCCGCGGUAAUACGUAGGGGGCGAGCGUUG
rnacentral:rRNA from 1 species